rnacentral:rRNA from 1 species
UACGUAGGGUGCAAGCGUUGUCCGGAAUUAUUGGGCGUAAAGAGCUCGUAGGCGGUUCGUCGCGUCGGCUGUGAAAUCCCGAGGCUCAACCUCGGGUCUGCAGUCGAUACGGGCGGACUGGAGUUCGGCAGGGGAGACUCGAAUUCCUGGUGUAGCGGUGAAAUGCGCAGAUAUCAGGAGGAACACCGGUGGCGAAGGCGGGUCUCUGGGCCGAUACUGACGCUGAGGAGCGAAAGCGUGGGGAGCGAACAGG